ACAAAAAUUAAAAAAAAAAAAAAAAGGUAGAGGCAGCCAGGUCACAAUGGAACUUGAUUGUAUCUUGAAACUAUGCAAUAGCCAUUCCUGUCCCAGACCCUCUCUCCUUCUCCGCCUUCUCGCCCUCCCUGGGUGAUGUCAUCACCCCUGUAUCUUUACUUAAACUAAGUGACACUUAAACUGAAUGACUGGUCCCCGGUCCUGCUCGUGAGCUUCUGACGAGGUCCUCACUUCCUGUUAGGUCCCCAGGCUGCCAAAUGGAACGGGCCCUGACAGAACCCUCGCCUUCACACCCACCCACCCACACCCGCUCUUCCUGGGCUCCUCAGGGCCUGUCGCUGCCUUCCCAGCCCCUCCCACCAGAGCAGCAUCAGGGCCCCCGGGGUCAUGUUUCUGGUCACAGCCAUUGUGACCACCUAGUGUCACCUGCAUCAUUGCCUGCCAAGUCUCCCCUGCUCACUCCAGUCUCCUGACCCCUGAUCCAUUGUCUACACUGCAGGCAGGAUCAUCUUUCACAAAUGCAGAUUUAUUCCUCUCUUUGAUAUUCCUCCAUUUAUUAUUCCAAAGAGAAACCCAAUUUCCUUAACACUUGACGCUCUGGUCUGAUUCCUCCUCUCCCUUGAGGGACACUCCCCCCCUCCAAGGUCCCCCGACCUUGGGACUGAGCUGAGUGCCCAUGCGGUGCCCACGCACGCCGUUGCCCUGUAGAGCCACGUGUUUCACGAUGCAUCGAGAUGGCCUGUUUACCGCGUGGCUUACCCACACACGCAGGUGCAAUGGAGCAUCUGUCUCCCUCUUCCUCCUCAAUCAAAUUGGACUCCAAGCCUCCAUCGUACCCAGGGAAGCAGGAAAGUUCAUGACUUUCAUUCUCAGGCCUCCUGAUGCUUCCCGUCCUGGUCCAGUGCCCUAACCAGAGUGAAAUAUUACAGGCAGUCCCAUCAGAGGGACACCGUAACUCCGGACGCCCUUGCCCCACCCACUCCACUCUUGGCCGUACCCGGACACUGGCAUCCCAGCCCAGACUGGAGCCCUGGUGCCCAAGCCGCCCCCAGGAGGAGUCUCUCCAUCCCCGGAGCAGUCUCAGGGACUGUUCCCAACCAAGGACCUCCAAGAUCUAUCUUCCCAGUGAAUUCAGAACACAAGGAGGGGAUGGCUUCCGGGGAAUUUCUGCCCCAUACACCUGCCCUGGGGAAGACUCUUGGAACCAGAGAGGGGAACAUAUAAAGAGCCCAACACGGGUCGGUGUCCCUGAAAGUUAUUCUGGACUUGCUCCCCUUCACUCAGCAGGGACCUCUAAGACAGGACCAUGUCCCUCUCUGGCGGCCUGGCACAGUGCCUGGUAAUCAGAAGAAGACCAGUGAGGAAGCAAGCAUCACUCCAGACCUACCAGAUGUGCAAAGAUGAAGAGGUCUGAUGGGGCCGAGUGUCUUCAAGGACGUGGAGAAUCAGGGGCGCGGAGACACUGUGGUGGGGUCGUAAGUCAGGUCAUCCACUUUGGGGAGCAGAUGAAAAUACCAAGUAAAGUUAAAAAAUGCCCAUUUCUUUCACCCUGAAAUCCUACUUACAGCAUAAAUCUGGAGAAACGUCUGCUCAGGGGAUUGUGAACACACAGAUGUUCAUUGCAUCAUUGUUUAUGACAGCAAAGAACCUGGACACCCAUCGACAGGUAAAAAGAUUUCUCACCACUUUUCCUGACAAUGCCAUCCCCAUGUCUGAUGACAGCUCAGACCUGCUGGUGGUGUCAUAUGGCUAGUGACAGCCACACCUAAGAAACAAACAAAAAUUACAUCUACAAUUUCCAAAUGUCAACCAAUGCUUUAGAGAUUACUGGACCGAAUGGAUGAAUGAUGGAGAGACAGAGCAUGAACAGGGGAGGGACA